CACGAACCUAUUUCUGAUCUUUUUCAGGCGGCACCUCGGCCAGUCCUAACAACCACCUCCAGGACGACCCCCUUUCGGUUGCAGUUGACGGAGCCGCUCCAUCUUAUUGACUCAAAUAUCCAACUCGUCUCCGUCAGUCCGGAGUGCCCAGAAAGCCCGAGAAUGUCCAUCCCCAUAACCCACAUCGAGCUGAUCAUUUUCUGGAACUUUUUUGCCAUCGCGAGCUCAUGGAUUGUCCCUCAACCCAAGCAAAACAUUUGGAAGAUGCUCGCUGGCGCCCUCGGCAGAGAUCAUUUGUGCCUCUCCGCCACCUCGGCAGCAGACCCCUUGUCGACCUGCCUUGUGGGGAUCCCGCUUCCUCCAAAAGAGUUUCCCGAGCCCCUUUACUCCUUCCUUGAACCCCUUUCCCAAAAUAAAGUUUUCAGUCCCUCUAGUCCCAAUCCCAAUCCAAUCUGGAGGAGGCUAAUGUCCAAAUUGAAUAUAUCUAAAUCUGACCCCACCGAAUUUAAAUUGCUCGGCUCCGCGUCAGCAAAUUUGUGUGUUCAAUUUUUCCCUUCCCGCGACCGCUACGAAAAAUCUUUUACACCAAUUAUAGAACAGAAUCAAAACUACGCGGCAGGGAAUUGGUGUUCUGUCA